UCACUCUGGUUUCUCUUUAUAACAGACAAGUCUUUAGGCUUUUACUAAAGACUUCCUUGGAGGAGAACGCCGAUGAGUUGAAACUAUUUUUGGUGGACUUUGCUGUUUUGGCCGAGC